AUGACCGCUAGCGGCAGGCUUAACACAUGCAAGUCKHGGGGUAUAUGUCUUCGGAUAUAGAGACCGGCGCACGGGUGCGUAACGCGUAUGCAAUCUACCUUUUACAGAGGGAUAGCCCAGAGAAAUUUGGAUUAAUACCUCAUAGUAUAGCUCUACUGCAUGGUAGUACUAUUAAAGUCACAACGGUAAAAGAUGAGCAUGCGUCCCAUUAGCUAGUUGGUAAGGUAACGGCUUACCAAGGCGACGAUGGGUAGGGGUCCUGAGAGGGAGAUCCCCCACACUGGUACUGAGACACGGACCAGACUCCUACGGGAGGCAGCAGUGAGGAAUAUUGGACAAUGGGCGCAAGCCUGAUCCAGCCAUGCCGCGUGCAGGAUGACGGUCCUAUGGAUUGUAAACUGCUUUUGUACGAGAAGAAACACUGCUUCGUGAAGCAGCUUGACGGUAUCGUAAGAAUAAGGAUCGGCUAACUCCGUGCCAGCAGCCGCGGUAAUACGGAGGAUCCAAGCGUUAUCCGGAAUCAUUGGGUUUAAAGGGUCCGUAGGCGGUUUAGUAAGUCAGUGGUGAAAGCCCAUCGCUCAACGGUGGAACGGCCAUUGAUACUGCUGAACUUGAAUUAUUAGGAAGUAACUAGAAUAUGUAGUGUAGCGGUGAAAUGCUUAGAGAUUACAUGGAAUACCAAUUGCGAAGGCAGGUUACUACUAAUUGAUUGACGCUGAUGGACGAAAGCGUGGGGAGCGAACAGGAUUAGAUACCCUGGUAGUCCACGCCGUAAACGAUGGAUACUAGCUGUUGGGAGCAAUCUCAGUGGCUAAGCGAAAGUGAUAAGUAUCCCACCUGGGGAGUACGUUCGCAAGAAUGAAACUCAAAGGAAUUGACGGGGGCCCGCACAAGCGGUGGAGCAUGUGGUUUAAUUCGAUGAUACGCGAGGAACCUUACCAAGGCUUAAAUGUAGAUUGACCGGUUUGGAAACAGAUCUUUCGCAAGACAAUUUACAAGGUGCUGCAUGGUUGUCGUCAGCUCGUGCCGUGAGGUGUCAGGUUAAGUCCUAUAACGAGCGCAACCCCUGUUGUUAGUUGCCAGCGAGUCAUGUCGGGAACUCUAACAAGACUGCCAGUGCAAACUGUGAGGAAGGUGGGGAUGACGUCAAAUCAUCACGGCCCUUACGCCUUGGGCUACACACGUGCUACAAUGGCCGGUACAGAGAGCAGCCACUGGGCGACCAGGAGCGAAUCUAUAAAACCGGUCACAGUUCGGAUCGGAGUCUGCAACUCGACUCCGURARCUGGAAUCGCUAGUAAUCGGAUAUCAGCCAUGAUCCGGUGAAUCCUU
rnacentral:rRNA from 1 species